UACGAAGGGGGCUAGCGUUGUUCGGAAUUACUGGGCGUAAAGCGCACGUAGGCGGGUUAUUAAGUCAGGGGUGAAAUCCCGGAGCUCAACUCCGGAACUGCCUUUGAUACUGGUAAUCUAGAGAUCGGAAGAGGUGAGUGGAAUUCCCAGUGUAGAGGUGAAAUUCGUAGAUAUUGGGAAGAACACCAGUGGCGAAAGCGGCUCACUGGUCCGAUACUGACGCUGAGGUGCGAAAGCGUGGGGAGCAAACAGGG
rnacentral:rRNA from 1 species